rnacentral:lncRNA from 1 species
GAUCGGAAUUUGGAGGUCGUGGUCCCCGUGGGCCCGUUUGACCAGGGUUAGGGUAGUUUGACCAUUGGUUGAUCGUGAGUCUCCUGGAGUAAUCUCACCUUCCCAGGGGGAUUAUCAGGUGCUAGACUAUUGUUGGGGUCUACACAAUAUUAGAAUUAAUUUAUAUGUUUGUGUAAGGGUAUAAAAGAGUCUAGAAUGUCAGUUUGAAGUGCUAUACGCACUACCUUAGGUACCUCCCCG